UACGAAGGGAGCUAGCGUUGUUCGGAAUCACUGGGCGUAAAGCGCACGUAGGCGGAUUUGCCAGUCAGGGGUGAAAUCCCGGGGCUCAACCUCGGAACUGCCUUUGAUACAGCAAGUCUUGAGUUCGAGAGAGGUGGGUGGAAUUCCUAGUGUAGAGGUGAAAUUCGUAGAUAUUAGGAAGAACACCGGUGGCGAAGGCGGCCCACUGGCUCGACACUGACGCUGAGGUGCGAAAGCGUGGGGAGCAACACGG
rnacentral:rRNA from 1 species